GUGGAGACAUUGUGAUGACCCAGAGUCCACUCUCCCUGCCCGUCACCCCUAGAGUGCCAGCCUCCAUCUCCUGCAGGUCUAGUCAGAGCCUCCUACGUCGUGAUGGAUACACCUAUUUGGACUGGUACCUGCAGAAGCCAGGCCAGCCUCCACAACUGCUGAUCUAUGAGGAUACAUCAGUUCAACUUCUCAAAACGAGAUUCCCUGCUCAGCUCCUGGGGUUGCUAGUGCUCUGGAUCCCAGGAUCCAGUGGGGAUAUUGUGAUGACUGAGACCCCACUCUCCUUGCCCAUCAUCCCUGGAGAACCUGCUUCCAUCUCCUGCUGGUCAAGUCAGAGCCUCCUACAUAAAAAUGAAUAUAACUAUUUUCAUGUGUCCCUACGGAAACCUGGCCAGUCUCCAUGGGAACUGAUACGUAAGAUUGCCCACCUUAUCCCCAGGGUCUCAGACUGGUUCAGUGGUAGCAGGUCAGGGACAAAUUUCACACUUAAAAUUAGCAGAAUGGAGGCGGAGGAUGUUGGAGUCUAUUACUGCGUGCAAACUCUACAACAUUCUCCCACAGCCCUGAACACAAAAGUCCCUUCUUAGCACGGCCCAUCUGUCCAAACGUGUUUCUUCUCUUGGAUCAGUCCUGGCUGAUUCUCCGAGUCUAUGUAAGAGCAAGAUUUUGGAGAACUCUGGGGAAGAGGUUGCAGCUGGACCAUGAGUGCCUCAGCUACACCUUCAGGAACACACAGGAAGACCCUGUGUGCUGCAGCAACCUGGGCAUGGCAGAACCAGCAGGAAAAUGGAGGGGCUUCAAGUGCCCUCUGAGUACCCAGACAUAACAAAGGGAGAGCUGACUUGAAAGCUCAUCCUAUUCCUCACUGCCUUGCGUACAUGUAUCAAUUCAACUCACUUGGCCUAAAAGCCACGGAGUUGAGGAUGUUUUAUGACAAUACAAAACCAGUACAUUUUUUGGUAUUUUUUUUUCUUUUAGCAGUUACUAGUAAACAUUCAGCAGGAAUGUAUUUAGUGAUAUUAAGUCACUAUUUUUCUCCCUUCCACCACUUUUGACUUCCAAUUUUUCUUAGCAUACAUCCUUCUUCAGGAUGAGGGUAGGCACAGGAUUUUAUACUACUGUCCUCAGGGAAUUAGCCAAGGAAAACUAGUCACAGUCUUGUAUUGACCUAAAACCAAUAAACAGCCAACUAUUUUACCAGUAGAAGGGGUUUAUUUGGGAAUGACAAAGAAUUGUGGAAAACCACACAAGUCCAGAGAAACAUUCUUGUGCGAAGUCCGGAGGGGCGUUGUAAAUGAAGAGUCCAUUGGAGGAGAAUGAGAGUUUGAAGCGUAGUGGCUUUUCAUUGGCUGAGUUAUGGUAUUUUCUCACUGGCUGAACUAGGAGGAAUUUCUUCCUUCCUUCUGCUGGUGUCGUAAGUAGUAUCACAUCCCAUCUGAGAUGCAGGACAUGGCUCUUCAUUUUGGGGUCUCUUGUGUGCCGUUGAGUGGCACAUGAGUGAGAGUACUCUCU